rnacentral:ncRNA from 1 species
GAACGCCGUGUGCGGGGAAACUCGCAUGCACGGUGUGAAGCGGGGGGUGCGACAAGAAGCGACUUCUUCCGCAC